AAUAUACUUCCUCCGUCCAACAAAGGAUGUCUCAAUUUUGACCAAAUUUGAAUGCAUCUAUACACUUAAGUCAUGUCUAGAUACAUCCAAUUUUUGACAAACUUGAGACAUCCUUUGUUAGACGGAGGGAGUAUAUU
rfam:Brachypodium distachyon strain Bd21 chromosome 1, whole genome shotgun sequence.